CACUGCCCGGUAGCUAAAUGCGGAAGAGAUAAGUGCUGAAAGCAUCUAAGCACGAAACUUGCCCCGAGAUGAGUUCUCCCUGACUCCUUGAGAGUCCUGAAGGAACGUUGAAGACGACGACGUUGAUAGGCCGGGUGUGUAAGCGCAGCGAUGCGUUGAGCUAACCGGUACUAAUGAACCGUGAGGCUUAACCUUACAACGCCGAAGCUGUU
rnacentral:rRNA from 1 species